UUUGAAUAAAUGUCAAAUAUAUGUGUUGACCUCUUGUGAUGGUCUGUGUAAGUUUGACUUGUGUUGUUGGGCCUUGGUUAAGGUUGAUUUGAUUUUGCUAGGUUGAUAUCAUUGGAUUUAGGGGAUUGAUGGAAUGUACAUUCCAUCUCCCAAAUGGAUGAAUGAUAUUAACUUGGUAAAAGUCCUCCUUUGACCAAUUUGAGUUAUGAUCCAUUC
rnacentral:lncRNA from 1 species